rnacentral:pre_miRNA from 1 species
CCCACACCCAUGUGUGUAGGACCCUAAAGGAUCACUAUUAAAUUUGGCACAGAUCUCUAGAAAAGUAAUUAUAUGGGUGUGGGACUUGACUUUUCUAGAGAUUUGUGCCAAAUUUAAUGGUGAUCUUUUGAAGUCCUACACGCAUGGAUGUGAG